rnacentral:rRNA from 1 species
UACGAGGGGGGCAAGCGUUGUUCGGAAUUAUUGGGCGUAAAGGGCGCGUAGGCGGUGCGGUAAGUCACCUGUGAAAACUCUGGGCUCAACUCAGAGCCUGCAGGCGAAACUGCCGUGCUGGAGUGUGGGAGAGGUGCGUGGAAUUCCCGGUGUAGCGGUGAAAUGCGUAGAUAUUGGGAGGAACACCUGUGGCGAAAGCGGCGCACUGGACCACAACUGACGCUGAGGCACGAAAGCGUGGGGAGCAAACAGG